UACGGGGGGGGCAAGCGUUGUUCGGAAUUACUGGGCGUAAAGGGCUCGUAGGCGGCCAACUAAGUCAGACGUGAAAUCCCUCGGCUUAACCGGGGAACUGCAUCUGAUACUGGAUGGCUUGAGUUCGGGAGAGGGAUGUGGAAUUCCAGGUGUAGCGGUGAAAUGCGUAGAUAUCUGGAGGAACACCGGUGGCGAAGGCGGCAUCCUGAACCGACACUGACGCUGAGGAGCGAAAGCCAGGGGAGCGAACGGG
rnacentral:rRNA from 1 species